rnacentral:rRNA from 1 species
GACGAACGCUGGCGGCGUGCUUAACACAUGCAAGUCGAACGGAAAGGCCCUGCUUUUGUGGGGUGCUCGAGUGGCGAACGGGUGAGUAACACGUGUGUAACCUGCCCUUGACUUUGGGAUAACUUCAGGAAACUGGGGCUAAUACCGGAUAGGAGCUCCUGCUGCAUGGUGGGGGUUGGAAAGUUUCGGCGGUAGGGUAUGGACUCGCGGCUUAUCCGCUUGUUGGUGGGGUAGUGGCUUACCAAGGCUUUGACGGGUAGCCGGCCUGAGAGGGUGACCGGCCACAUUGGGACUGAGAGACGGCGCAGACUCGUACGGUAGGCAGCAGUGGGGAAUAUUGCACAAUGGGGGGAAGGCUGAUGCAGCAACGCCGCGUGCGGGAUGACGGCCUUCGGGUUGUAAACCGCUUUCGCGUGUGACGGAGCGUGAGUGACGGUAAUGGGUAAAGAAGCACCGGCUAAAUACGUG